UACGUAGGGUGCGAGCGUUGUCCGGAAUUAUUGGGCGUAAAGAGCUCGUAGGCGGUGUGUCACGUCGGCCGUGAAAACCUGCAGCUUAACUGUGGGCGUGCGGUCGAUACGGGCAUCACUGGAGUUCGGCAGGGGAGACUGGAAUUCCUGGUGUAGCGGUGAAAUGCGCAGAUAUCAGGAGGAACACCGGUGGCGAAGGCGGGGUCUCUGGGGCCGAUACUGACGCUGAGGAGCGAAAAGCGUGGGGGAGCAAACAGG
rnacentral:rRNA from 1 species